GCGAGAGUGGUGGAAUUGGCAGACUCGCUAGAUUCAGGUUCUAGUGCUCGCAAGGGCGUACGGGUUCGACUCCCGUCUCUCGCACCA
rnacentral:tRNA from 1 species